rnacentral:rRNA from 1 species
UACAGAGGUCUCAAGCGUUGUUCGGAUUCAUUGGGCGUAAAGGGUGCGUAGGUGGCGCCGUAAGUCAGGUGUGAAAUCUCGGAGCUUAACUCCGAAACUGCAUUCGAUACUGCCGUGCUUGAGGACUGGAGAGGAGACUGGAAUUUACGGUGUAGCGGUGAAAUGCGUAGAUAUCGUAAGGAAGACCAGUGGCGAAGGCGGGUCUCGUGGACAGUUCCUGACGCUGAGGCACGAAGGUCAGGGGAGCAAACGGG